GGCUCGUUGGUCUAGGGGUAUGAAUCUUGCUUUGGCUGUGAGAAGUCCCGGUUCAAAUCCUGGAUGAGCCC
rnacentral:tRNA from 1 species